rnacentral:rRNA from 1 species
UACGUAGGGGGCAAGCGUUAUCCGGAUUUACUGGGUGUAAAGGGAGCGUAGACGGCAGCGCAAGUCUGGAGUGAAAUCCCAUGGCUUAACCAUGGAACUGCUUUGGAAACUGUGCAGCUAGAGUGCAGGAGAAGGUAAGCGGGAAUUCCUAGUGUAGCGGUGAAAUGCGUAGAUAUUAGGAGGAACACCAGUGGCGAAGGCGGCUUACUGGACUGUAACUGACGUGAGG